GUCCACGCCGUAAACGAUGGACACUAGGUGUCGGAGGUGUCGACUCCUCCGGUGCCGAAGCUAACGCAUUAAGUGUCCCGCCUGGGGAGUACGGCCGCAAGGCUAAAACUCAAAGGAAUUGACGGGGACCCGCACAAGCAGCGGAGCAUGUGGUUCAAUUCGACGCAACGCGAAGAACCUUACCUGGGCUUGACAUGUUGGUGACAGCCGUGGAAACACGGUCUCCCUUCGGGGCACCUUCACAGGUGGUGCAUGGCUGUCGU
rnacentral:rRNA from 1 species